ACUGGGAACCGACAGGCCCCAGGCCUCAGGUCGUCCCUGUCUUCAAAGUGGGGCUUCACCGGGACCGCCCCUUUCCACCCGGGAACCUAUCUGCCUCCUGCUGCCAUUGACAGGAUGCCUAAGGACUCAACUGAUCUUCAAUGAGAUUCCUGAAACUAACAAGAAAACAUUAGAGGAAAUAAAAAAGAGGGACACUAUAAAAACUUACUGGCUUAUACUCUCCAAAAUUGUCAAGGCCAUGAAGACAAAACCAAGAAAUUGUUCCUGAUUAAAGGAGACUAAAGACUAGAGACCUAACAACUAAAUUAAUUGGAGAUUCUGGAUUGGAUCCAGGACCUAGACAAAAAAUUGUUUUUCUUUUGCUACAAAGGACAUUAAUGGUACAACUGAUAGAUUUGAAUAAGUUCUGUAGAUUAUAGUAUCAUAGCAGUGUAAAUUUCUGAUUUUGAUAAUUAUAUAAUUUCAUAUGAGACUAAAUUUUCUGAUUUUGAUAAUUACAUAAUUUU
rnacentral:lncRNA from 10 species